rnacentral:rRNA from 1 species
UAAUACAGAGGGUGCAAGCGUUAAUCGGAUUUACUGGGCGUAAAGCGUGCGUAGGCGGCUCGCUAAGUCGGUUGUGAAAUCCCUGGGCUUAACCUGGGAACUGCAGUCGAUACUGGCGGACUAGAGUACGGUAGAGGGUGGCGGAACUCCGGGUGUAGCGGUGAAAUGCGUAGAUAUCCGGAAGAACACCGAUGGCGAAGGCAACCACCUGGGCCUGUACUGACGCUGAGGUACGAAAGCGUGGGGAGCAAACAGGAUUAGAUACCCUGGUAGUCCACGCUGUAAACGAUGAGAACUUGACGUCGGUUCGCCUAGCGAAUCGGUGUCGUAGCUAACGCGCUAAGUUCUCCGCCUGGGGAGUACGGCCGCAAGGUUG